AACGAACGCUGGCGGCAUGCCUAACAUGCAAGUCGAACGAGACCUUCGGGUCUAGUGGCGCACGGGUGCGUAACGCGUGGGAACCUGCCCUUAGGUUCGGAAUAACUCCCCGAAAGGGGUGCUAAUACCGGAUAAUGUCUUCGGACCAAAGAUUUAUCGCCUUUGGAUGGGCCCGCGUUGGAUUAGCUAGUUGGUAGGGUAAAAGCCUACCAAGGCGACGAUCCAUAGCUGGUCUGAGAGGAUGAUCAGCCACACUGGGACUGAGACACGGCCCAGACUCCUACGGGAGGCAGCAGUGGGGAAUAUUGGACAAUGGGCGAAAGCCUGAUCCAGCAAUGCCGCGUGAGUGAUGAAGGCCUUAGGGUUGUAAAGCUCUUUUACCCGGGAUGAUAAUGACAGUACCGGGAGAAUAAGCUCCGGCUAACUCCGUG
rnacentral:rRNA from 1 species